GACGUAGGGCGCGAGCGUUGUCCGGAUUUAUUGGGCGUAAAGAGCUCGUAGGCGGCUUGUCGCGUCGUCCGUGAAAACCCGGUGCUUAACGUCGGGCUGGCGGUCGAUACGGGCGGGCUGGAGUUCGGUAGGGGAGACUGGAAUUCCUGGUGUAGCGGUGAAAUGCGCAGAUAUCAGGAGGAACACCGGUGGCGAAGGCGGGUCUCUGGGCCGAUACUGACGCUGAGGAGCGAAAGCGUGGGGAGCGAACAGG
rnacentral:rRNA from 1 species